UACGAAGGGGGCUAGCGUUGUUCGGAAUUACUGGGCGUAAAGCGCGUGUAGGCGGGUCUUUUAAGUCAGGGGUGAAAUGCCAGGGCUCAACCUUGGAACUGCCUUUGAUACUGGAGACCUUGAGUCCGGGAGAGGUGAGUGGAAUUGCGAGUGUAGAGGUGAAAUUCGUAGAUAUUCGCAAGAACGCCAGUGGCGAAGGCGGCUCACUGGCCCGGAACUGACGCUGAGACGCGAAAGCGUGGGGAGCAAACAGG
rnacentral:rRNA from 1 species